CCUAAUACAUGCAAGUCGAGCGAACGGACGAGAGUGCUUGCACUCUCUGAUGUUAGCGGCGGACGGGUGAGUAACACGUGGGUAACCUACCUAUAAGACUGGGAUAACUUCGGGAAACCGGAGCUAAUACCGGAUAAUAUUUAGCUUCGCAUGAAGCAAUAGUGAAAGACGGUUCUGCUGUCACUUAUAGAUGGACCUGCGGUGUAUUAGCUAGUUGGUGAGGUAACGGCUCACCAAGGCGACGAUACAUAGCCGACCUGAGAGGGUGAUCGGCCACACUGGGACUGAGACACGGCCCAGACUCCUACGGGAGGCAGCAGUAGGGAAUCUUCCGCAAUGGACGAAAGUCUGACGGAGCAACGCCGCGUGAGUGAAGAAGGUUUUCGGAUCGUAAAACUCUGUUGUAAGGGAAGAACAAGUACGUUAGUAACUGAACGUACCUUGACGGUACCUUACCAGAAAGCCACGGCUAACUACGUGCCAGCAGCCGCGGUAAUACGUAGGUGGCAAGCGUUAUCCGGAAUUAUUGGGCGUAAAGCGCGCGUAGGCGGUCUCUUAAGUCUGAUGUGAAAGCCCCCGGCUCAACCGGGGAGGGUCAUUGGAAACUGGGAGACUUGAGUACAGAAGAGGAGAGUGGAAUUCCAUGUGUAGCGGGUGAAAUGCGCAGAGAUAUGGGAGGAACACCAGUGGCGAACGCGGCUCUCUGGUCU
rnacentral:rRNA from 1 species